CUGUGCUAGACGGGGAGCUAGCGGUGCCCUGAACCCGCAAUCCGCUAUAGCGGGGUCGAAUUCCUGCUCGAGGGCUGCGCUUUCGGGGACUGUCCUCUUCAGUCGGCGCCGAGGGUCUGGUCCUGCGCGGCGAGGCGCUCCGAACCUGGUCAGGUCCGGAAGGAAGCAGCCAUAAGGGGUUUGCCUCGGGUGCCGCAGUCAACCGGGCCUGAGCCGGCUGUUGCAGAGCAAGCCCGGGGGCCAGUUCGACAGCAGGUGCACGG
rnacentral:SRP_RNA from 1 species